rnacentral:rRNA from 1 species
UACGAAGGGGGCUAGCGUUGCUCGGAAUCACUGGGCGUAAAGGGUGCGUAGGCGGGUCUUUAAGUCAGGGGGGAAAUCCUGGAGCUCAACUCCAGAACUGCCUUUGAUACUGAAGGUCUUGAGUUCGGGAGAGGUGAGUGGAACUGCGAGUGUAGAGGUGAAAUUCGUAGAUAUUCGCAAGAACACCAGUGGCGAAGGCGGCUCACUGGCCCGGUACUGACGCUGAGGUGCGAAAGCGUGGGGAGCAAACAGG